AUUGAACGCUGGCGGCAGGCCUAACACAUGCAAGUCGAGCGAGCGGCGGACGGGUGAGUAAUGUAUGGGGACUGCCUGAUAGAGGGGGAUAACUACUGGCCACGGUAGCUAAUACCGCAUACCCUCAGCUACCCCAUAUGGGAUGAGCUAGUAGGUGGGGGAAGGGCUCACCUAGGCGACGAUCCCUCGCUGUUCUGAGAGGAUGAUCAGCAACACGGGGACUGAGACACGGCCCAGACUCCUACGGAGGCAGCAGGGGGGAAUAUUGCACAAUGGGCGCAAGCCUGAUGCAGCCAUGCCGCGUGUAUGAAGAAGGCCUUAGGGUUGUAAAGUACUUUCAGUCGGGAGGCGGUACCGACAGAAGAAGCACCGGCUAACUCCGUGCCAGCAGCCGCGGUAAUAC
rnacentral:rRNA from 1 species